rnacentral:lncRNA from 1 species
UUUCAGCUGAAGAGUGAGCAGCUGCUCAGGAGCAACCUGCACAGGGUGGCACUUCUUGUCUGAUGUCUUCACCUACUAGUGUCCUCUCAAUAGUGCAACCUGGACAUCUUUUCUUCCCUAAGACAGCACACCUCCGUGGCCCAAGUUGUUCCCUGCUGCAGCUUACUUUCCAGUUCUGGAUGUGCUGA